GAUGAACGCUGGCGGCGUGCCUAACACAUGCAAGUCGAACGGAAUUUACAUGAAGCCUAGCGAUUGUAAAUUUAGUGGCGGACGGGUGAGUAACGCGUGGGUAACCUGCCUUGUACUGGGGGACAACAGUCGGAAACGACUGCUAAUACCGCAUGACGCUUCUUGGGGGCAUCCCUGAGAAGUCAAAGCUUUAUGUGCUGAAAGAUGGAUUCGCGUCUGAUUAGCUAGUUGGUGAGGUAACGGCUCACCAAGGCGACGAUCAGUAGCCGGUCUGAGAGGAUGAACGGCCACAUUGGGACUGAGAUACGGCCCAG
rnacentral:rRNA from 1 species